rnacentral:rRNA from 1 species
AAACUUUCAACAACGGAUCUCUUGGCUCCAGCAUCGAUGCAGAACGCAGCGAAACGCGAUAUGUAAUGUGAAUUGCAGAAUUCAGUGAAUCAUCGAAUCUUUGAACGCCCAUGGCGCCUUCCAGUAUCCUGGGAGGCAUGCCUGUCCGAGCGUCGUUU